rnacentral:rRNA from 1 species
CCUACGGGAGGCAGCAGUGAGGAAGAUUGGGCAAUGGGCGGAAGCCUGAACCAGCCAAGUAGCGUGAGGGAAGAAGGCCCUACGGGGCGUAAACCGCUUUUGCCGGGGAGCAAGGGCGGGGACGUGUCCCGGCCCGGAGAGUACCCGGAGAAAAAGCAACGGCUAACUCCGUGCCAGCAGCCGCGGUAAUACGGAGGAUGCGAGCGUGCCCCGGAUUGAUUGGGUUUAAAGGGUGCAUCGGCGGGCUUUUAAGUCAGCGGUAAAAAUUCGGGGCUCAACCCCGUCCGGCCGUUGAAACUGGGGGCCUUGAGUGGGCGAGAGGCAGGCGGAAUGCUUGGUGUAGCGGUGACAUGCAUAGAUAUCACGCAGAACCCCGAUUGCGAAGGCAGCCUUCCGGCGCCCUACUGACGCUGAGGCACGAAAGUGCGGGGAUCGAACAGGAUUAGAUACCCCAGUAGUC